rnacentral:rRNA from 1 species
CACGUAGGCGGGUGUGUAAGUCGGUUGUGAAAUCCUCUGGCUCAACCAGAGAAUAGCAGCCGAAACUGCAUACCUUGAGUAUAGCAGAGGGAAUCGGAAUCCUAGGUGUAGCGGUGAAAUGCGUAGAUAUCUAGGAGAACACCAGUGGCGAAGGCGGAUUCCUGGGCUAUUACUGACGCUGAGGUGCGAAAGCUAGGGGAGCGAACAGGAUUAGAUACCCUGGUAGUCC